UACGGUGAAUACGUUCCCGGACCUUGUACACACCGCCCCGUCAAGCCAUGGAAGCUGGGUGUACCUAAAGUCGGUAACCGCAAGGAGCCGCCUAGGGUAAAACUAGUAACUGGGGCU
rnacentral:rRNA from 1 species